AUAGUUUUGGGGAACAGAUUUCAAAUGUAAAGUUUUUAAAGUUUUGAGCUCCACAAAACUAAUUCCGUUCAGCUCCACAGUAUCCGGGUCAAGAGGAGAUAUCGGAGAUCUCAAACCGGCAAAUAAACAAAACUAUCUGCAUACCUGUACAGUGACCUCUGACCGCCUUCCUGUUGGACGUCUGUGAGGCCUCUGAUGGUGGAGCUGAGGCUCAUUCUGCUGCUGGAUUCAAGGCUCUCUGCGGCGCUGGCGGUUCCCACCACGAUGGUGCCGUUGUUGUCGGAGGACUGGAGGGUUUGCUCGUCUUCUUGCGUCCUGAUGAGACUCAGCAUGGCUCUGUACAGGAACUGGUACUGCUCCUGAAACCACAGAUUAAGGAGCUCGAAGGUGUUGCUGAUGGGACUGUCUGGAUUCGGCCAGCAGGGGGAACGGUAGUGUUUCACCUCCAGAACGUAGUCGUCCUGUCGGGAUACAGAGGGAAGAGAGCAGACAUCUGUCAUUGCCCCAUUGAGAGUAUCAUGACGGCCUGCAUCACCGUUGCUAUGGCAGUUGCAUCGCCCUCAACCACAAGGUUCUACACAGGGUUGGGAAAACCGCUCAGCACAUCACAAGGAUGGAGUUUCCAUCAGCGGAGGACCUCUACACCCAGCGGUGUAGGAUGAAGGCCAAAGGAUUACCAGAGAGCCCAACCACCCUAACUACAAACUGUUCUGGCUGCUGAUGUCCAGCAGACGGUACCACACCACCAGGAUCUGCUUCAUCCCGCACGCCACAAGACUGUUGAACUAUUGAGCUCAUCACUUAACCUUUUACUUACUGUUUUUACACACUUUUGACUGGUACUGUAUAUAAUAUAUUACUUGGCAUUGCACAUAUACAUUCACUGCAUUCCUGUUUCAUUCAUUUGCAAUUACUGUACACCUCUACCAUGUUAUAUUGUCCAUAUAUUUUAACUUGCAUUAUAUUCUGUCUUACAUUAUCUUUUUUUUUUUUUUUUUUUUUUGUGUGACAUAUUUAAUUGCGUUGUUGAUGAACUAAAACACUUACAACACCUGUGUGGCCCGCAAUCUUAUGCUGGCUCCUUAAGAUGGCACUCAGUGAUAAUAACUUUGAGAAACCCUGCUAAUGUCAUAAAAAAGAUUUCUUUUUUUUUUUUUUUUUU